rnacentral:rRNA from 1 species
UACGGGGGGAGCAAGCGUUGUUCGGAUUUACUGGGCGUAAAGGGCGCGUAGGCGGUUUGUCGCGUCGGGAGUGAAAACACCGGGCUUAACUCGGUGCUUGCUUUCGAUACGGGCAGACUAGAGGCAUUCAGGGGAGAACGGAAUUCCAGGUGUAGCGGUGAAAUGCGUAGAUAUCUGGAGGAACACCGGUGGCGAAGGCGGCAUUCUGGACCGAUAUUGACGCUGAGGAGCGAAAGCCAGGGAGCAAAGCGGGAUUAAGAUGACCCU